rnacentral:rRNA from 1 species
UACGAAGGGGGCUAGCGUUGCUCGGAAUUACUGGGCGUAAAGGGAGCGUAGGCGGUCAUUUAAGUCAGGGGUGAAAUCCCAGAGCUCAACUCUGGAACUGCCUUUGAUACUGGGUGUCUUGAGUGUGAGAGAGGUAUGUGGAACUCCGAGUGUAGAGGUGAAAUUCGUAGAUAUUCGGAAGAACACCAGUGGCGAAGGCGACAUACUGGCUCAUUACUGACGCUGAGGCUCGAAAGCGUGGGGAGCAAACAGG